GGCGGAGGUAGCCAUGUGAAUCAAGGCAGU
rnacentral:tRNA from 1 species